CAGUUCUAUUCAGGACUUUAAGGUUUUAUGUGAUUAUCAAAAAGCCUUUCUUCCCUCUAAAAACUACUCACACAUGCAAAAAGCUGCAUUAUCUGCAAGUGCUUGCCACAAAAAAUACCUGCGUCAUUCUGACAGCCACAAGACACACCAUGGGCCAGUAAAAGGUUAACAACUACCAAAAUAAAAUAAGAAAGAACCUGUGCCUGCUACAGGGACACAAGUCAGUUAUUUCAGAGAGAAAAGAGAAGCUGGCAAUCCUCAAGAUCAGCGUCUUCCCUCUAUGAGAGCCAGAACUGGAUAUACUAUGUUAACGAUGGACUUGAAAGUGUUGAAUCCCUUCUCCUGAUCCACUGGCUAUAUCCUUGCCAACACAGCACAGUACAUGGCUGGCUUCUAACGGCAAGGACACCCUGCUGACUCAUAUUCUACUUUUACUUCCUCAGGACCUUCAGGUGCUGUUUCUGCAGAGCUACUUCUAGUCAGUGGAUAUCCAGCAGAGGGUUCUUCUGACACAGAAGGACUGCAGCAGGUUGCUAAAUGAGCUACCCCCCACUCCAGGUCUGUACCAGGACACCACUGCAUUCAGCAGCCCAGAUCAAUUCCAUAAGUGAAUAUCAAACCUCUACUGGCAGCUUUGCCAAUGUCUUACUGGGGCUUUGAACAGGAUACAGACUGGGACACAAGUAUUACUGCAACCUCAAUAGUGCAUUCUUGCAGGUCAAGGUGGAAGAACCAGCAAGUUGAGGUUGUUUUUAAAUGUAUUAGAAGUUCAAACAACUCUGUACAGCUUGCUCAGAUUUUCUUGGCAAAGGUAUUAAGGGACAAACACUGUUCCUCUUCAUCCUUAGGCCAGCUAAGCUGAGAGCUGAAGCAGGACUAAAGAGAAGUAAAAAGCCCCCAGGAACAAGCUGUCCAGCCAGACUGCAAUAAAGCAGGACAGAGAUCCAGGUGCUUUCAAUCUGAAUCCAUCCUACUGGCCAAGCACAAACUGGCACUUACAUUCAGCUAUGCCUCACACUUCACUGGGCAAGCUGUUCACCUUGCUGAAGUACUUCAAAUAAAAGUUUUGAUGCCCCCUGUUCUAAA